GUGGGGAAUAUUGGACAAUGGGGGGAACCCUGAUCCAGCCAUGCCGCGUGUGUGAAGAAGGCCUUUUGGUUGUAAAGCACUUUAAGCGAGGAGGAGGCUACCGAGAUUAAUACUCUUGGAUAGUGGACGUUACUCGCAGAAUAAGCACCGGCUAACUCUGUGCCAGCAGCCGCGGUAAUACAGAGGGUGCGAGCGUUAAUCGGAUUUACUGGGCGUAAAGCGCGCGUAGGUGGCCAAUUAAGUCAAAUGUGAAAUCCCCGAGCUUAACUUGGGAAUUGCAUUCGAUACUGGUUGGCUAGAGAAUGGGAGAGGAUGGUAGAAUUCCAGGUGUAGCGGUGAAAUGCGUAGAGAUCUGGAGGAAUACCGAUGGCGAAGGCAGCCAUCUGGCCUAAUACUGACACUGAGGUGCGAAAGCAUGGGGAGCAAACAGGAUUAGAUACCCGAGUAGUCC
rnacentral:rRNA from 1 species